AUGAACUCACAGACUCAUGACAUGUCACAGCCAGAGCUGGGGCUAUGGGAGAAUAUUCGAGAACUGACUGUGGCUGUCACCAGACCCUGGCCCUUCCUCAUGCCCCCAACCCAGCCAACAGUGGGGUCCUUUCUCACCUUGAUCAUUCACAAGCCCCUUCUCCCUCUGCUCACCUGCCACGUGCCGGGCCUCUUGCUCUCCUCCCCAGGGUGGUGGGUGCUUCUAGGCUCUGUCCUGGGGUCUCCCCACUGCACCUUCAGCCCAAGACAGCAGCGCUCUGGGCGCUCUUCUCCAAGAAGCUCCACUGCCCACACAAGGGAGGCGACUUCUUCCAUUGUUCCCUCCCCUGCAGCCCACAUUCCCAGCUGCCCUCCUUCCUCCUCAACCAAGGUUCUUAACAACCCUUCCUUUUUAAGGGUCUUCUCUGCUCAGCCAGGCCUACUCCUGCCCAAGGUCACUAUGUUGGAGGAACACAAAAGGAGGUGGCAAAAAGCCCUCAGCCUUCUCUGUCAUUACUUUUCUCCAUCACUGAGGCUCUUCCCUCCACUAGGGAUUCCUCUGGCCCCUGGCCCGGGCCCUCAAUACCCUCCAUGAUGAGUUGAAACCUUCCUUUCCUCCCUUGCCCUGAAAGACUCCCUUUGAGCAAACCACAUGUCACUGGUACCAGGCUGCCUCCACACCUCUUUUCAGGCUGUAACUUCAGCCUGAACUACCUUCCUCCUCUUUCCAUCUAACAAGUUUCUUCCCCUCUGGAUUCAUCUCAAACCUCAUUUGUCUCAUCUGGCAGCCAAGCAAAUGUACAUGACUCUGCACUUUCGAGCCAGAGACCUCUGACCUUAAUCUCUGUUUGGCCACUUUGAAGCUCUUUGCCCCUGGGCAAGUCACUUCAUGUCUCCUGAGCCUGUUUUCCAAUCUAUAAAAGCAAGCGCUGAUCCAUCCCUCAGUGAAGCAAGGAUGAAAGGAGACCAGGUGUGUGAGGUGCUCAGGGCAGCACGUGGCUCCUGGCAGCGACUCAGGAAAGCUAACUACUGGAGCUCGUUUCCAUCCCCCUCCUACCAGCUGUGACCUCACCCUGCUUUGACGCUCUGGCACAUUUGGGGUCUCACCCAAAUUGGCCCUCUAUUAUACGUGACAGACUUCCCUAAAACAGAAACUAAUCCCCCUCCUACCAGCUGUGACCUCACCCUGUUUUGAUGCUCCGGCACAUUUGGGGUCUCACCCAAAUUGGCCGUCUAUUAUAGGUGACAGACUUCCCUAAAACAGAAACUGCUUCUGUGCCCCUGUGGGUCCUACACAGAAGGUAUUUGUUGAGUGGAAAUGAGGAUGGACCAGUAAGGUCCCAACGUGGGAAGGACAAACACUUCCUGUGGUUGGAGAUGCUGCCAAACCAACAGAGGCCAGUUGCCUUUUCAUCCCCAUCUGGUCUUAUGCCACAUCCCAAGGCACUGGACUACUUUUGCCAUCUUCCCGUUUCUCUUGUCCCUCCAACACAGUGACCUUGGGCAGGAACAGGCCUCGUUGAGUAGAAAAGACCCCUAACAAGGGCCAAAGGAGAAGCUGUGCCCCACGGGCUCCUGCCUCACCAGCUUGGCCACUCCACGUGGCCUCGUGUCUUUGCACUGUGCCAAUGGAGCACCACACUCAAGGGGUUUCCUUCCCAAGGCCCCUGGUGCUCUCUCCCACCAGGUGACCUCAGACAGAGUCACUUUCAGUAGAAAUGUUAGUGUUGAUGGUCCCCUCUCCGUGAGCCGGAAGCAGGCCCUCAAGGCAGCUCACAGCUGCCCAUCUCCUCCCAGCAGUCUUCAAGCUGUGCCUACGGAGAACUAUGUGUGCAGGACAGGUCCACACUGUACUUCCUCACCCCAGCACAACAGGCGUCAACUUACAGACGUCCAUAUAACUCAAGGCAAAGAGAAUCUGCCCAACAUGGAAAAGCAGAGUCUUUCCUUGUUCAACCCCCUUUCUAAAAGCAGAGAUAUAUCACCUUGCUGACAAAGGUCCAUAUAGUCAAAGCUAUGGUUUUCCCGGUCGCCCAGAGUCGGACACAAUCAAAGCUACUUAGCAGCAGCAGCAGCAGUAGAGCCCCUUUACCUGAUCGUCAGCUCAUGCUUGGACUCAGCAAAUCUCCAAAAGGAAGAAAAGAGCAAAAUCAACUCACCUAGCAGGAGAUCAUUGGAAGGACUGGUGCUGAAGUCGAAGCUCCAAAACUUUGGCCCCCUGAUUCAAAGAACUGACUCAUUGAAAAAGACCCUGAUGCUGGCAAAGACUGAGGGCAAGAGAAGGGGACAACAGAGGGUGAGAUGGUUGGAUGGUAUCACUGACUCAAUGGGCAUGAAUUUGAGCAAACUCAGGGAGAUAGUGAAGGGUAGGGAAACCUGGUGUGCUACAGUUUAUGGGGUUGCAAAGUCAGACAUGACUUAGCAACUGAACAACUACUGGGAUAAGAGACCAAAAUGAUCAGAUGGACCAGGGGUACCAUCCGCACAAAGAGACAGGGUGAGCUCUUGGCCUUAGGGACUGAACCAUAAAAUGG
rnacentral:lncRNA from 1 species